CAUAUAUACAGUGUUAUAACAGAAUAAAGAUUUCUGAAAAAAAUAGAUGGCUACCAUAUUAUAUUUCGGGCCUCAUUAGACUUAAUUAGAUAGUGUUGGUGUUUAAAGUUGAAGACAGUAUAUAAUUCAUCAAGUACAAUGGAAUCCAGAAUUAAGCUGAUUUACAAUAAAACAAAGAGUACAAAAUUACACUGGGUCCGCCAGAAAAAGUGAGCUAGGUCGAACUGGCAGCUAGAUUGAGACCUUCGGUAAAAUAACUGAUCAUAAUCCGGAAUAAAUGACCGUAUGUAAUGGACGGAAUAUAGCUAAGUUUCGGCACCGGAAGUGAACACGUAUCAUAUUUUCAGGCUUUCCAAAAAUUUUAUCAGGAUGGUUACAGACGUACAGCUUGCAAUCUUCGCUAAUGCGUUGGGCGUGACAUUGUUCCUUCUAGUUG